AAGUCUCAGAGGCUGGAGAGCAGAGCACCAAGAUCGUUCUGGCAGGAACAGCCAGUGGGAGGUUCCAGCUGAGCGCUCCCCAGAGGUGAGCUGACCCCCAGCCACAGCACACAGGACCAGGCUGCGAGAACAGCAUCAUCAGCAUCAUGCUAUUACAAUCCCAAACCAUGGCGGUUUCUCACAGCUUUACACCAAAGGGCAUCACUAUCCCUCAAAGAGAGAAACCUGGACACAUGUACCAAAACGAAGAUUACCUGCAGAACGGGCUGCCAACAGAAACCACCGUUCUUGGGUUUGGCAUUACUGGAUCCCUCUCAAUUAUCUCUGGAAAACAAUCAACUAAGCCCUUUGACCUGAGCAGCUUGACCUCAAAUGCAGUGAGUUCUGUUACUGCAGGAGCAGGCCUCUUCCUCCUUGCUGACAGCAUGGUAGCCCUGAGGACUGCCUCUCAACAUUGUGGCUCAGAAACGGAUUAUCUAUCCUCAUUGCCUUAUUCGGAGUACUAUUAUCCAAUAUAUGAAAUCAAAGAUUGUCUCCUGACCAGUGUCAGUUUAACAGUGAGUAGUUUCAGACUGAAUAUCCUGUCAUGUGAAAUCUCUGUGUCUCCCCUUUGCAUACUCUCUGCUUUUCUGGCAGUCUCUGGUUGGUCGGUCCGAAUGCCUGGAGACAGACAGAAAAAAACAAAAACCUGUGGUUGGAAGAGGCCUGUCUGCUGACUGCAUGGUGUGGGGGAUGUAUUAUAGAAAGUCAAAAGAGGAAAUCAAGAAGGACAGUAGGGAGUCUAUCCCUCCACUGGUCUUUCUUAAUCACAAACAUUCCAACCUUAAUGGGUUUAACUCUUAAAGUACAACCUUUGUUGUACUCAUCACAGGCAGAAAUAUUCUUCCUACUCAUCACAGGCAGAAAUAUUCUUCAUUUGAAUUAUAUUUUAAUUUGGGAUUCUUUU
rnacentral:sRNA from 1 species